UACGGAAGGCAGCAGUGGGGAAUAUUGCACAAUGGGCGCAAGCCUGAUGCAGCCAUGCCGCGUGUAUGAAGAAGGCCUUCGGGUUGUAAAGUACUUUCAGUCGUGAGGAAGGUGUUAAGGUUAAUAACCUUAGCAAUUGACGUUAGCGACAGAAGAAGCACCGGCUAACUCCGUGCCAGCAGCCGCGGUAAUACGGAGGGUGCGAGCGUUAAUCGGAAUUACUGGGCGUAAAGGGCACGCAGGCGAUUAAUUAAGUUGGAUGUGAAAUCCCCGGGCUUAACCUGGGAAUGGCAUUCAAGACUGGUUAGCUAGAGUCUUGUAGAGGGGGUAGAAUUCCAUGUGUAGCGGUGAAAUGCGUAGAGAUGUGGAGGAAUACCGGUGGCGAAGGCGGCCCCUGGGACAAAGACUGACGCUCAUGUGCGAAAGCGUGGGGAGCAAACAGGAUUAGAUACC
rnacentral:rRNA from 1 species